rnacentral:rRNA from 1 species
UACAGAGGGUGCGAGCGUUAAUCGGAAUUACUGGGCGUAAAGCGUGCGUAGACGGUUAUUUAAGUCGGGUGUGAAAGCCCCGGGCUCAACCUGGGAAUUGCAUUCGAGACUGAAUAGCUAGGGUACGGUAGAGGGAAGCGGAAUUUCCGGUGUAGCGGUGAAAUGCGUAGAUAUCAAGAGGAACACCUGCGGCGAAGGCGGGUUGCUGGGCCGACACUGACGCUGAGGCGCGAAAGCUAGGGGAGCGAACGGG